rnacentral:rRNA from 1 species
AGAGUUUGAUCCUGGCUCAGAUUGAACGCUGGCGGCAUGCCUUACACAUGCAAGUCGAACGGCAGCACGGGAGCAAUCCUGGUGGCGAGUGGCGAACGGGUGAGUAAUAUAUCGGAACGUGCCCAGUCGUGGGGGAUAACGUAGCGAAAGCUACGCUAAUACCGCAUACGAUCUAUGGAUGAAAGCGGGGGAUCGUAAGACCUCGCGCGAUUGGAGCGGCCGAUAUCAGAUUAGGUAGUUGGUGGGGUAAAGGCCUACCAAGCCUUCGAUCUGUAGCUGGUCUGAGAGGACGACCAGCCACACUGGAACUGAGACACGGUCCAGACUCCUACGGGAGGCAGCAGUGGGGAAUUUUGGACAAUGGGCGCAAGCCUGAUCCAGCAAUGCCGCGUGCAGGAUGAAGGCCUUCGGGUUGUAAACUGCUUUUGUACGGAACGAAACGGUCCUUUCUAAUACAGGGGGCUAAUGACGGUACCGUAAGAAUAAGCACCGGCUAACUACGUGCCAGCAGCCGCGGUAAUACGUAGGGUGCGAGCGUUAAUCGGAAUUACUGGGCGUAAAGCGUGCGCAGGCGGUUAUGUAAGACAGAUGUGAAAUCCCCGGGCUCAACCUGGGACCUGCAUUUGUGACUGCAUAGCUAGAGUACGGUAGAGGGGGAUGGAAUUCCGCGUGUAGCAGUGAAAUGCGUAGAUAUGCGGAGGAACACCGAUGGCGAAGGCAAUCCCCUGGACCUGUACUGACGCUCAUGCACGAAAGCGUGGGGAGCAAACAGGAUUAGAUACCCUGGUAGUCG